rnacentral:rRNA from 1 species
GCCUGCCCUGUGACUAUAAGUUUAACGGCCGCGGUAUUUUGACCGUGCGAAGGUAGCGCAAUCACUUGUCUCUUAAAUGGAGACCUGUAUGAAUGGCAUAACGAGGGCUUAACUGUCUCCUUUUUCAGGUCAAUGAAAUUGAUCUCCCCGUGCAGAAGCGGGGAUAAUAACAUAAGACGAGAAGACCCUAUGGAGCUUUAGACACCAAGCAGCCCAUGUCAAAACCACCCCCACACGGAAAUAAACUAAAUGGACCCUGCCCUAUUGUCUUUGGUUGGGGCGACCACGGGGAAACACAAACCCCCCACGCGGAAUGGGAGCACACCUCCUAAAACCAAGAGCCACAGCUCUAAUAACAGAAUUUCUGACACUAUGAUCCGGCAAUGCCGAUCAACGGACGAGUUACCCUAGGGAAACAGCGCAAUCCUCUAUUAGAGCCCAUAUCGACAAGAGGGGUUUACGACCUCGAAUGUUGGAAUCAGGGACAUCCUUAGUGGUGCAGCCGCGCUAUUAAAGGGUUCGUUUGGUUUCAACCGAAUAAAAGGUCCUAACGGUGAUCCUGGAGUU